UUUCGUAGGUGAACCUGCGAAAGGAUCAUUAUCGGCAAA
rnacentral:rRNA from 1 species